rnacentral:rRNA from 1 species
UACGUAGGGGGCUAGCGUUGUCCGGAUUUAUUGGGCGUAAAGGGCGCGUAGGCGGUUUCUUAAGUUUGAAGUGACAGUGGGUGGCUUAACUACCCAAGGCCUUUGAAAACUGGGGAACUUGAGGACCAGAGAGGGACAUAGAAUUCCGGGUGGAGUGGUGAAAUGCGUAGAUAUCCGGAGGAAUACCAAAGGCGAAGGCAGUGUCCUGGAGGGUGACUGACGCUGAGGCGCGAAAGCUAGGGGAGCGAACAGG